GUGCUCGCUACGGCAGCACAUGCACUAAAAUUGGAACGGUACGGAGAUUAGCAUAGCCCCUGUGCAAGGAUGACAUGCAAAUUCUUUCAGUGUAUAUGUACUUGU
ensembl:snRNA U6 U6 spliceosomal RNA